AGUUGCACGCGGGAGUUGGAGAUGGGGGGGUGAUAGAUGCAGCUGUGAGCUCCGGGGUUUUCAGCCUCCACCAGAUACUGUUCAUUAACACAGAUGUUUGCAGACUUGGCCACGUGGAAGCCCACCGGGAGAAUUCGGGCGGGGGUGUCCUGGAAUUUACCUCCUAAGUCUGGGGUGGAGGUGGAGACAGUAUUAAAAAGAAGAAGUUAUAUAAUCGUCGGAACGAUUACCCUGAUGUAAACCAGAAUGAAGGUGAACAAGCGUGUGCAAGCAGAUAAAGGGAGAAGUUGCAGAUUUCGCGCGUCGGAUCUCGAGGCCGGAAGAGAGGAGCGAGUUUGCAGCGGGCCGGCAGUGCAGGCAGUUCUGGCUUCUGCAGACAUCCUAGGAAACUUUGGCGCCUUCCCCUCGGCUCCCAAAUCUCCCCAAGUGCAUCCCUCUCUACGAAGCCCCCCAAAUAUGCCACCUGGGCUCCAAGUCGCCUUUAGCUAGGUUUGGAAGUGCAGCCCACACUUAACAAAACAUCUGCUCCUCCUGACCUUUA